rnacentral:misc_RNA from 1 species
GAAAUGCGAUAAGUAAUGUGAAUUGCAGAAUUCAGUGAAUCAUCGAAUCUUUGAACGCACCUUGUGCUCCUUGGUAUUCCUUGGAGCAUGCCUGUUUGAGUAUCAUGAAAUCUUCAAAGUAAAUCUUUUGUUAACUCAAUUGGUUUCUACUUUGGUAUUGGAGGUCUUUGCAGCUUCACACCUGCUCCUCUUUGUUCAUUAGCUGGAUCUCAGUGUUAUGCUUGGUUCCACUCGGCGUGAUAAGUUAUCUAUCGCUGAGGACACUGUAAAAGGUGGCCAAGGUAAAUGCAGAUGAACCGCUUCUAAUAGUCCAUUGACUUGGACAAUACUUUUAUGAUCUGAUCACAAAUCAGGUAGGACUACCCGCUGAACUUAAGC